UGAAGUCUUGCAAUUUGAAGGAAAAGGUUCAUAUGUGAGGAUCGUGGACCAAUCCUGGCCUUAGCUUGCUUCAAGACUCUACCACCUACAUAAUAUGCUAAUGGUAACCCUCUUUUACCAUUUUUACCACUUAUUUAUCUUGUAUUUUUAUAUCUAAAUUCCCCAUUAUGUCACUGUUGUUUGAGUUUGAUUAGACUGGUUUUAAUUGGGUGUCAUUGUU
rnacentral:lncRNA from 1 species